rnacentral:lncRNA from 1 species
UGGGUUAAGAAAGCUAUCCCUCAUUCUGGGAGGAUUUACUGUCUUGGUGGCAGAAGCAUCUGAGAUAAUGGAGGUAAGAGUGGAGUAGUGAUGUGGCUCUUUCUUCACUAUGCUGCAUCUCACAUAGUGAACUCCACCAGAACCUGGGUGCUGUGGUGCACACGUGCCUUGGUUGCCUCUACAUGAAAUCAGCUCGCGCUCACUCACAUCUAGCAUCUCGAGAUCUGUGUGACAGGAAUGCGUCCACAUUUAUGGGUGUCGAAAAAUAACCACUACAUUUGCACUGUGUUUCUUGCCAGCAAGCUUGGCAGACCAAAUCCUGCUGCUCUGACCUGUCUGGGAGUCUGCAACCUGCAAAGUGAACUGUUCAGCUACCUGCUCAGUCCAGGUCAGCCAGAGCAUCUGUAACGGAAAUUUGAAGUCUAUAUUCAAGACUGUUUUCGACCCCUGAAGUAAGGACAAGAAGUUUGAAUGAAUAUAGAGUCCUGAGUUGAACCUUUGCCCUCUGCCUUACCCCAUUCUGCUCAUUAUUCUGUUUCAAUCUGCUGUUAAAGGAUUCUCCCAUCAGCUUUCAAAUAUCUAAGCAUUACAUAUAAAACUCUGUGUGUUCAAAUAAAAUUAAUCUCCAAUGUGCCA